rnacentral:lncRNA from 1 species
AGCAGCUGGAGCUUGAGGCAGAGUGUAAGGCAUCGAGCUCAUGACCGACUAGUCGUUUGACGACGGUUACUGACUUUAGAAAACCCCCAGAAUCUCACUGACUGUAAACCUUUGCAGCCUUCAGAAAAAAAAGAAACAUGCCCACAUCAUGCAUGCCAUUCUUCUGACCGUUUCAACACAUUUAGCAACUCGACCGAGUCAAACAAGCUCAGACAACUUCAACCUCUUGUCGAACUCGUUAACUCAUA